UAUAACUGGAUGGAGCAGUAACUUGGUAUAGGGGGAACCUAAUGGAGCACAAGAAUCUGCAAUACUCUGUUUUUGUUGUGCUUUCAUUUGGUGAUCGCUACUCUUCAAUGAAUUCUUCACGCUUCUUUUUUUUUUUUUUGAGGAUCUCGUUCAUUUGAUUCUUUCAUACGUUCCAUUUGGUUUUCACAGGGAGGACAUGUACUGUGAAAGUUGUGGCAGAGAUUAUCAUGGACUUAUUUUUGGUUUGGUGUGCUAAGUAAAGAACUACGAAUGUACUUGUUCUGAAUGGUGUCUUUUGAUGCAUGUCUACUUUUCAGUCAGUUGAAGUUUUGGAUAUCUUUUGAUACAAUUGGAUAAGAAAGGAUAGUACAGAUAAUUCAAAUUUCUUCAAUGAAAUUCUAUUUACUAUUUUUAAUCCAGAUA
rnacentral:lncRNA from 1 species